UGCAGUCGACGAACUCUGGUAUUGAUUGGUGCUUGCAUCAUGAUUUACAUUUGAGUGAGUGGCGAACUGGUGAGUAACACGUGGGAAACCUGCCCAGAAGCGGGGGAUAACACCUGGAAACAGAUGCUAAUACCGCAUAACAACUUGGACCGCAUGGUCCGAGCUUGAAAGAUGGCUUCGGCUAUCACUUUUGGAUGGUCCCGCGGCGUAUUAGCUAGAUGGUGGGGUAACGGCUCACCAUGGCAAUGAUACGUAGCCGACCUGAGAGGGUAAUCGGCCACAUUGGGACUGAGACACGGCCCAAACUCCUACGGGAGGCAGCAGUAGGGAAUCUUCCACAAUGGACGAAAGUCUGAUGGAGCAACGCCGCGUGAGUGAAGAAGGGUUUCGGCUCGUAAAACUCUGUUGUUAAAGAAGAACAUAUCUGAGAGUAACUGUUCAGGUAUUGACGGUAUUUAACCAGAAAGCCACGGCUAACUACGUGCCAGCAGCCGCGGUAAUACGUAGGUGGCAAGCGUUGUCCGGAUUUAUUGGGCGUAAAGCGAGCGCAGGCGGUUUUUUAAGUCUGAUGUGAAAGCCUUCGGCUCAACCGAAGAAGUGCAUCGGAAACUGGGAAACUUGAGUGCAGAAGAGGACAGUGGAACUCCAUGUGUAGCGGUGAAAUGCGUAGAUAUAUGGAAGAACACCAGUGGCGAAGGCGGCUGUCUGGUCUGUAACUGACGCUGAGGCUCGAAAGUAUGGGUAGCAAACAGGAUUAGAUACCCUGGUAGUCCAUACCGUAAACGAUGAAUGCUAAGUGUUGGAGGGUUUCCGCCCUUCAGUGCUGCAGCUAACGCAUUAAGCAUUCCGCCUGGGGAGUACGGCCGCAAGGCUGAAACUCAAAGGAAUUGACGGGGGCCCGCACAAGCGGUGGAGCAUGUGGUUUAAUUCGAAGCUACGCGAAGAACCUUACCAGGUCUUGACAUACUAUGCAAAUCUAAGAGAUUAGACGUUCCCUUCGGGGACAUGGAUACAGGUGGUGCAUGGUUGUCGUCAGCUCGUGUCGUGAGAUGUUGGGUUAAGUCCCGCAACGAGCGCAACCCUUAUUAUCAGUUGCCAGCAUUAAGUUGGGCACUCUGGUGAGACUGCCGGUGACAAACCGGAGGAAGGUGGGGAUGACGUCAAAUCAUCAUGCCCCUUAUGACCUGGGCUACACACGUGCUACAAUGGAUGGUACAACGAGUUGCGAACUCGCGAGAGUAAGCUAAUCUCUUAAAGCCAUUCUCAGUUCGGAUUGUAGGCUGCAACUCGCCUACAUGAAGUCGGAAUCGCUAGUAAUCGCGGAUCAGCAUGCCGCGGUGAAUACGUUCCCGGGCCUUGUACACACCGCCCGUCACACCAUGAGAGUUUGUAACACCCAAAGUCGGUGGGGUAACCUUUUAGGAACCAGCCGCC
rnacentral:rRNA from 1 species